AAAGAACCUUCCGUCGGGUGAACUUGCGGAAGGGUCCUUU
rnacentral:rRNA from 1 species